GGGCAAUUAGCUCAGUGGUAGUAGCGCUCGCUUUGCAUCUUCCUAAUCUGCGAGAGGUCGGGAUUUCGACUAUCCCAUUGUCCA